rnacentral:misc_RNA from 1 species
UUUCCGUAGGUGAACCUGCGGAAGGAUCAUUAUUGGAUUGUGGGCCUCGGCCCCAUACAAAAGAACCCUUCAUAACCUCUUGUGGACAUGUCGGCCCUCGGGCCUUCAAACUCCAAACUUUUGUGUGUCGUAUGAACGUAACAACUAUUAAAAGUAACACAACUUUCAACAACGGAUCUCUUGGCUCUC